GAUCUUAGUUGCCAGCAUUUAAGUUGGGCACUCUAAGGUGACUGCCGGUGACAAACCGGAGGAAGGUGGGGAUGACGUCAAAUCAUCAUGCCCCUUAUGACCUGGGCUACACACGUGCUACAAUGGAUGGUACAAAGGGCUGCAAACCUGCGAAGGUAAGCGAAUCCCAUAAAGCCAUUCUCAGUUCGGAUUGCAGGCUGCAACUCGCCUGCAUGAAGCCGGAAUCGCUAGUAAUCGCGGAUCAGCAUGCCGCGGUGAAUACGUUCCCGGGCCUUGUACACACCGCCCGUCACACCACGAGAGUUUGUAACACCCGAAGUCGGUGAGGUAACCUUCAUGGAGCCAGCCGCCUAAGGUGGACAGAGAUGGG
rnacentral:rRNA from 1 species